rnacentral:tRNA from 1 species
GGCACGAUGGCGGAGUGGUUAUCGCGUGGCACUAGAAUCCUUCGCAUUCUAGAGCAAAAAUCCUGCUCAACAAAUAUAUGCCAUUCCCUCUGGGAGCACAGGUUCAAAUCCUGUUCGUGUCG